CUCUUCCCUGCAGCGCCUACCCUGCAGCUCCUCAACCCCAGAGGCCUUCUCUCCCCCUGCUCCCAGUACAUUUUCCCACAAAGCCAGGCCAGGAAUUUGCUGGAAAACCUGAAAGUCUUAAGGGGAGUCAGCACUGGUCCUUCAACCACAGCAAAUGAAGAGCCGGCUCCAGGGGCAUGCAAACUGAGAAGUUGCAUAGGAUCCUGGGCUCAGCAGGGCUCCACACUCGGUUUAAUGCUUUGUUGCUGCCUUCUUGAAAUCCUUAGUACUUUCUGAACAACAAGUCCCGCAUUUUCAUUUUGCACUGGGCCCUGCAAAUUAUGUAGCCAGUCCUGCUCCUCGUUUUACAGAUCCUGCCCUAGAGGAAGACAUGCUGGGAAGGACAACCUCUGCGUGGGCUUUGUUUUCUGAGAUGAGGGUGUGCUGCCUGUCACAUUAAGGAGCAACUGUCUGCUUGGUGUUAGUAGACAUUUAACAGCCCUCUCACUCUGGCAAAGUUCAAUUGUCAACAAAGCGCUGGCAUCAGGAUAAGAACCUUCAGCAAGCAACAGUGACUAGCUGUGAUCUAAUGAUAACCUUUCAUUUCAUUUCAUAUUUAGAUUUAUAUUUACCUUCUCUUUCUAUUAAAUGGUGCUAGUUGUCCAUUGGAAGGAGUCAUAUGAAAUUAUCUUCUAAAAUAAAUAUAUUCAAAUAUUUUUAAAUCAGUUUAAAGAAAAAAUUAAAUAAACAUUUACAUAGGCGAUAUGUGAAUGCUGAAAUUUCAGGUAACAAGAAGAAAGAGGAAAGAGGGCUUCAGUGAAAGACCAGCAGCUGAUGUCCCAGACAGAAGCUGGCAUUAACCCCAGAAGAGCUGAGUCUGAAACCAGUACUACACUGACAAGCUGUGGAAGGUGAUGAAUGUCUUGAACAUCUCUGGUUAUUGGCUUCCCCAUCUAUAAGCUGGAUAUGAUUAAAAUAUUGACUUCUUCACAGAUUUGUGCUUAAGAAUCAAAUGAGCUAUUUUAAGGGAAAGCCUUUUACCAAGCAUAAAGUAUGACACCCAUGGAAGAGAUUAUAACUAAGUGAGGGAUAGAGGAGGGAUAAGAGAGCGGAAGCUAAAGAAGUCAUUUAGGUUGAAGGAAAUUGGUAAAAUCAGUGAGAAAGAUAAUCCUGUGGCUGGGUGCGGUGGCUCAUGCCUGUAAUCCUAACACUUUGGGAGGCCAAAGCAGGCAGCUAACUUGAGGCCAGGAGUUCGACACCAGCCUGGCCAACAUGGUGAAACCCCAUCUCUAAUAAAAAUACAAAAAAAUUAGCCAGGCAUGGUGGCGCAUGCCUGUAAUCCCAGCUACUCAGGAGGUUGAGGCAGGAGAAUCGCUUGAACAUGGGGGUGGAGGUUGCAGUGAGCCGAGAUCAUGCCACUGCACUCCAGCCUGGGCAACAGAGCAAAACUCGGUCUCAAA
rnacentral:lncRNA from 1 species